AUGGAGACCAAGCAGAGCACAGAAGGGAAAUGGUCGCACGGGAAGACCAUGCCGGUGAAGAACGUCCAGGCGCUGGCCGCGGACGCGGCGGAGCUGACGGAGGAGGCCAUCAAGCGGUACAUCAGGCCGGCGAGGGCCGACGAUGUCGUCGUUGCUGCUCACGGCGAUAAUAGCAGCCAGAGCAUUCCUGUGAUCGACCUUGGUAGGCUCCUUGAUCCCCGGAGCUAUCAGCUGGAGGCGGCCAGGCUCAGGUCCGCAUGUGAGGAGUGGGGCUUCUUCCAGGUGAAAAACCAUGAAAUUCCUGACACAGUUCUUGAAAACAUGAGGAACGACCUCGAGCACUUCUUCAGGCUUCCCCUCGAUGAGAAGAACAGAUUUGGCCAGUUGCCUGGAGACCUCCAAGGCUAUGGCCAAGCAUUUGUUGAGUCCGAACAUCAAACGCUCGACUGGUGUGACAGGCUUUACCUAGUGACCCAGCCACCUCACGAUCGUGAAAUGAGACCAUGGCCUACAACUCCUGUCAGCUUCAGGGAAUCCAUUGAGUCGUACUCCUCUGAGCUGAUGAGGGUGACUGGCUCGCUCAUGGCAAUCAUCGCUAGAAACCUAGGCGUUGAUCUCCCCAGUGAUACAUACGUGAGUCAGGCAUUGAGGAUGACCUACUACCCUGCAUGCCCCGUGGCUCAUGAUAAGGUUUUGGGGAUUUCACCACAUUCCGACAUUUCUAUGCUAACGCUGGUAUGGGAGUUGAAUAUGGUGGGAGGGCUCCAGAUCAAGAGACAAGAUGCAUGGGUGCCGGUAAAACCCCACCCCAAGGCAUUGGUGGUGAAUGUUGGUGACUUUCUUGAGAUAAUGACAAACGGAAAGUACCAAAGCAUUGAGCACAGGGUCACCGUUAAUCCUCACAAGGAGAGGAUGUCCAUUUCUGCUUUUCACCUCCCAAAGUUUGAUAUGAGCGUGGGCCCAUUAUCUGAAAUAGUUGGGGCCGAGCUCAAGAAAUACAAGACCCUGAGGGUGGACGAGGUUGCUAAGGUUGUUUUCUCGAGCAAACUUGACGGCAAGAAAACCAAGGACUAUGCCAUGCUUAGAGUCUGA
rnacentral:rRNA from 1 species